rnacentral:rRNA from 1 species
CUUAGGGAGGAGCUUGCGUCACAUUAGUUAGUUGGUGGGGUAAAGGCCUACCAAGACUAUGAUGUGUAGCCGGGCUGAGAGGUUGAACGGCCACAUUGGGACUGAGACACGGCCCAAACUCCUACGGGAGGCAGCAGUAGGGAAUUUUCGGCAAUGGAGGAAACUCUGACCGAGCAACGCCGCGUGAACGAUGAAGUAUUUCGGUACGUAAAGUUCUUUUAUUAGGGAAGAAUAAAUGAUGGAAAAAUCAUUCUGACGGUACCUAAUGAAUAAGCCCCGGCUAACUAUGUGCCAGCAGCCGCGGUAAUACAUAGGGGGCAAGCGUUAUCCGGAAUUAUUGGGCGUAAAGGGUGCGUAGGCGGUUAAAUAAGUUUAUGGUCUAAGUGCAAUGCUCAACAUUGUGAUGCUAUAAAAACUGUUUAGCUAGAGUAAGAUAGAGGCAAGUGGAAUUCCAUGUGUAGUGGUAAAAUGCGUAAAUAUAUGGAGGAACACCAGUAGCGAAGGCGGCUUGCUGGGUCUUUACUGACGCUGAGGCACGAAAGCGUGGGGAGCAAACAGGAUUAGAUACCCUGGUAGUCCACGCCGUAAACGAUGAGUACUAAACGUUGGGUAAAACCAGUGUUGAAGUUAACACAUUAAGUACUCCGCCUGAGUAGUACGUACGCAAGUAUGAAACUUAAAGGAAUUGACGGGACUCCGCACAAGCGGUGGAUCAUGUUGUUUAAUUCGAAGGUACCCGAAAAACCUCACCAGGUCUUGACAUGCUUCUGCAAAACUGUAGAAACACAGUGGAGGUUAUCAGUUGCACAGGUGGUGCAUGGUUGUCGUCAGCUCGUGUCGUGAGAUGUUGGGUUAAGUCCCGCAACGAGCGCAACCCUUAUUGNUAGUUACCAGCACGUAAUGGNGGGGACUUUA